AGAUAUUCCUGCUAUACUUCUUUGUCUAUGCUGAGCCUAGUGGGUUUCAGUUAAAGAUGGACUUAAUUCCCCACUGCUUAAAUGUUUCAGCUAUUUAUCCCAGUAAAUGCAAUUACAAAAGCUACACUUGAGCAAUUCCCCUGCUCAUAUGCUGUCCUUCUGUUUUUCUCCUCUCUCCUUUAAGAGAUAGAUGUUAGAAUUGUUCUUUGAUGACAAAAUGGGGAGAAAUUUAGAGGCUAUGUCAGUUAUAGAAAAGGGGUUGCCCUACCACUUCCUUCCUUUGUCAUUGGAAACUUUAGCUCUCACUUCCUUCUGCUUUCAGGUUUCACUCUCCCUGCCUGGAUUUUGAGGCCCAUGGGGAAAGUUCAAUAACAAGCUAUUUGUUGAUAACUUUGGGGUUUUCAAAUUAUAACCUUGUGUUUCUGAAGCAUUAGAGAGCUAGUUAAUUGAGCAUCUUUGGCAACAAAGGAGCAUGCAGAAGAAGUACAUGGAUGUGCUCUUUUGGAUGCUAAUGGUUAUUAAUCACAACUUUACAUUUGUAUAGUACUUGGUAGUUUUGAAAAUGCUUUUCCAUUAUUUUGUUUUAUUCUCCUAGCAACCUCAUGGAGGUAGAUUAAGUCCUAUUGUUGAAGAAACAGGCUAAAUAUGGGUUGAAUAAUUUGUCCAAGGUCAAACAACUUGUGUAAUAGCUAGUGAAAGGGGAAUAAAAGGGUUGUUUUUAAUAAAAGGUUGGACUGGAUUAUUUAAGAAUAGGGUUACCAGGAAUUUAAUUAAUUCCAAAGAGAUUUAUUUAAUAAUUUAUUUACAAAAUAUAGGAAGAGUGAAGUAAGAAAACGAGAGAGAGGAUAGGGUAAGAUAUCUAGCCUAAGCACUAAGUAUUUUGCUUUGACUCCUGGCUCAACCCAGGCAGAGGAGUUUAGUCAUUAGCUGGAGAGGUUUUGGCUUUGAGCUGAGGAUCUGGGGCUGCAGGGAGCCUUUCUCAAGAGGAUAGGUCUCCCCUGAGGCUAGUCUCUUCAGAAAAUCCAGGAAAAGAAUCAGUUCUUUUCAUUCACCACAUGUCAGUCCAAAGGGAGAGAUUCAAGGACAGAUUCUCAGGUCUAGUCAGCAGAUUCUUCAUCAGCCUCCAAUUUAAACUCAGAACUCCAGAAGAAGUGAAAGUCUCCCCACAGAAAGUUGUCACUACCUUUUAAAGACUCUUUUGCGUUACUUCCCAUGCCCUCCUCCACUUUUACGUCUACCAAUUACAGUUGAAGCUUUGCUUAGGACUGCCCAAGAGGCAGUCAGUUUGAUUCUGAUUCGUCAUCCACAUGUGGGUCACAGACCUCUCCCACUCAGUGAUUAAGUGGGAUGUUUACACUUUUGGUGAUCAGGGGAGUUAAUUUAAUCUAUACAUUAGAGUUGUAAUUUUAAACUUUUGUUAUUAAAUUUAAUGCUUAGUGAAUCUUACUGCAGCAAAAAUGAGAGGAGAAGGCCAGUGAGUGCUUCCUGACCACUGAUUGUAGUAUUUUAGAUACUUGUGAGCUAAACUGAACUACCUGACUAAGAAGUGGUAAGUGAUUUUUUUUUUAAUUAAAACCCUUACCUUCCAUCUUGGAGUCAAUACUGUGUAUUGGCUCCAAGGCAGAAGAGUGGUAAGGGCUAGGCAAUGGGGGUCAAGUGGCUUGCCCAGCGUCACACAACUGGGAAGUGUCAGAUUUGAACCUAGGACCUCCCAUCUCUAGGCCUAGCUCUCAAUCCACUGAGCUACCAGCUGCCCCCUAGAGACCCUUCCAAGGAGGUAGUUUACUUUAGUCAGAUAAUGGCCCAUAAUAAUUAUUAUCAUAAACUGGAAUGGUAAGAUAAAGGGAUGGCCUUGUCGUGAAAACUUUGUUUUGAAUCUCAUUUCUAACAUGGGCUAGCUAUUUCAUCAUGGAAACCCUAUCUGACCUAUCCGAGUCUCAGUAUCCUUAUCUAUAAAAUAAGAAUAAUAAUCUAUUUUGUUAGGCUUAAUUGAGAAAAUGUACAUGAAGUAUUUUAAGAGUGCUACAUCUAUCUCUUAUUUUACUUUAAAUUUUUUCAUUUAUGCUAAUUGGAGAAGUAACAUGAAGUCAGAUGCAAAAUGUUGAAUGUAAUAUACAACUUUAAUACUUUGAAAUCUGUAGAAUAAUUAGAUCAUAGCCAUCAAAAGAUUGUUGGAGAUCUCAAGGAUUUGCUUUAAUUUUUGGAUAGAAAUGAACUGGAAUAAACAACAUUUCUUUGUAAAUGGGCGAUUUUGAAGUGCUUAAAUCAGUGACAUUUUUUUGUCCUGAACUCUACUUCUAUCUUUAAUGAAUACUUCUUCAUUAAAAAAAAAUUGUGACAGAGCUAAUAAAUGGAGAAAUUAGUGGAAAUUAAAUCUAAAGUUUCUACUUUAGCAGUUCUUUAUCUUCAUCCAAAAUGCCCACUGAAGUAUCAGGACAUCUAUAAAGCUAUGUUUCUGAGAGAAAGUCUUUAAGUCUGAAUAAUAAAAUGACUUGCAAGCGAUUGAAAGCUGAAGUUUGGCUUUAGGAAUUUAUUUGCUUUCAUUUAAGGUUUGGGUGCUUAAGAACCCCUUUAUUCCUGGGGAAUAGGGGCUCCUCACUCUUCUUUACCACCCACUCUCCAGUCAAUGUUGCUGGUAUCUAUUUACUAGUUUGGAGAUUUACUAGGAGAAUCAAUAGUUCUAUAGUUUUAGUUUGGGAUAGAAGGAUAAGAAGGGGUUGAGAAGUAGAAAGAAUGAGUAAUAGAAAUGGGGAAAGUGAGUAUUGUUUAGUGAAUUAUUUUUAUCUUUUUUGCAUUAGCCAGUGGUAAAUGGCUGACUGCAAUUCAGAAAGUUGGGGCUGAGAUUUAGAAUUCCUUCAUACUGAAAUCCACUUUGGUCAUUGGUCUUCUGCUCAGAACCCUUCAUUGACAUUGUUGUUGAAUACAGUUCAGAUUCCUUAGCCAGGAAUUCAAAUACAGUAUACACAGCAUGGUGCCACCCUACUUUUCCCUGUUUAUGCCUUAGCCAAAUUAUAAAGCUUACUGUCCUCUGCCUUCAUGCUUUCCUUACAUUAUUCUCUAUAUUUUGUAUGCCCUUCUCUGCCUGCCAAGAUCAUGCCCAUGCCAUUUCUUUCAUGAAAUGCUUCUUGAACUUCCCACUUAGUAUUGUUCUCUCCCAACCCUGAGAUCUCUUCUAAUAUUUUGUUGAAAUUAUUUAGUCAUGUAUCAUAGUUUCAUCUGUAUGUAUCAUAUGCCUUUCUUAAACAGUGAGGGCAGGGAAACAUCUUUGAAUCAAGACUGCUUCAGUAUAUUGCACACAAAGGAUGUUUAAUUGAAUAAUCAGUAUUUUCUUGGGUUCAUUCAUAUUAACUGAAAUAAUUGUUAGAAGAAAUGCUAUUGGUGCCAUUUGGUAUGGUUUCCCACUAUUGACUGGCCUUUUAAAAUACCCAUAAUUUUGAUUCUAAGAAUGUAUUCAGCCUUUUUGUUUAAUAAAUAAGGAAACUGAGCCCUGAGAAGUUAAAUACCUUUUUUUCAUUGAAAACUUUGUGAUAUUCUGGUAAGAAAAUUCUACUUGGAAAAACGUUUACUAGCAGCAUAAUUGCCGUUUCAAAUAGGUAUAAAAAUUAGGGUCCUCUCUGCUUCUUAGCAUUUUUUUUUGUGGGGUCUAGAUAUGUGAUUCAAUUUGUAUAGGGAGUGUUUGAGUAUGGCAGUUCUUACUGCUUGAGCAGAGCAGAUCUGCAUCACCUUUAUAAUUUAUAGUCUCAGAAUGAUCUGGGUCACUGAGAGGUUUGAAUGAUUCUGCCAACAGAUCCAGUGUAUGCAAGGGAUGGAAUUCAAACUCGGAUUGUACUGCUGGUGAAGCCAGCUUUCUCUCUGAUAUAUGUUGCAGCCUGUCAAUGAUCAUUUAUUCAGAGUAAACAGUUUUUCUUGUUUUUCUUCGCUGAAUGUCAAGGGAAAUAUAGAAGGGGAGAAUAUAUAGAUAAGUGCCAGUACUUGUCAGAGAGUAGGCCCUUAAUAAAUAUAUGUUCAUUGACUGUAGUUGCUAAAAUAUUUCUAUUUACAUUCCAGUUUAUUCCUUUAUGCUAUUUUUUUUCCUUUUUAAACUCUUACCUUCUGUUUUGGAGCCAAUACACAAGGCAGAAGAGUGGUAAGGGCUAGGCAAUGGGGGUUAAAUGACUCAUCCAGGGUCACACAAUGGGAAAGUGUCUGAGACCAGAUUUGAAACUAGAACCUCCCAUCUCUAGGCCUGGCUCUCAAUCCAUUGAGCUACCCAGCUGCCCCCUUCUUUAUGCUAUUUUUUAAUUCAACCAUUUAAAAUAAAUUACUUAACCAAUCAAA